GAUGGAAGCUGCUGAGCCAACCGUGUAGGCAAACAAGAAAAUAUCUCUUGUCUGCAGAAGGCAACAAUCCUACAUAAACAUGAGACCUAUGGUCAUUCUCUUCCAUAUACU